rnacentral:rRNA from 1 species
AUUGAACGCUGGCGGCAGGCUUAACACAUGCAAGUCGAGCGAGCGGCGGACGGGUGAGUAAUGUCCGGGAAACUGCCUGACGGUGGGGGAUAACUACUGGAAACGGUAGCUAAUACCGCAUACCAUCAGAUGUGCCCAGAUGGGAUUAGUUAGUGGGUGGGGUAAUGGCUCACCCAGGCGACGAUCCCUAGCUGGUCUGAGAGGAUGACCACCCACACUGGAACUGAGACACGGUCCAGACUCCUACGGGAGGCAGCAGUAGGGAAUAUUGGGCAAUGGGCGAAAGCCUGAUGCAGCCAUGCCGCGUGAGUGAAGAAGGCCUUCGGAUUGUAAAGCACUUUUGGCGGGGAAGCGUUACUCACAGAGAAAGCACCGGCUAACUCCGUGCCAGCAGCCGCGGUAAUAC